CUGCACCACUCUUCCUCUGCACAGGUUUUGAUAAAUCUCUCCCAUAGACCCUGACUGUUGCAAGAAAAAAAUGAUAAAAUUAGCCGGUUUAGAAAUCACAUCGCUUCUUACUUUGGAGGGCCCCACUUACCUGGUGAAUUAUUGAAGGAUUCCUGAUACCAACAGACCACGCAUGAGCAACCAAUUGAGUCACUCCCGACGCGUUUCACACUUAUCUUAUUGAUGGUGCUGGAGUUACAUUUCUCUUCUACAGUUUGGAUGUAAUCCUGGAAGUCUGGCCAGUUUCCUCCAUGCACCGAUCCUUUCCACCUAUCCUUUCCUUACACUGAAAGAUAUGGCAAUUUUACUAUAAAGUAGCCAAUCACAACAUAGGAUAGGUCAGAAAAGAUCUGUGACAGGAUGAAAAUACGGGUGGUGAAGAUAAGCCGAAGAUUCCCAGAAGAGAUUGAUGGAAGACUGAAGAAAACCACUUUGGAUCCAUAUCAGGAAUUGUGGAAUGAAGCAGAAGAAGAGCUGAUGACACCUAUGAGGAGAGUUGCGGACUGCAGCACUGAGUUGGAAUUUUCAGUAUGGAAGCCUUUGAGUUUUCUCAAGAAGACAACGCUUGUCCAUAGGCCAUAUCAGAACAUUUAAAUAUCAUAGAGGGUAACAAAGAGAAGCUGACACUUAUGGUAAGCCAGACCUGCACUGAUCAUUACCUUAUCACCAUCAUGAAGAGGAGUAGUCUGGAACAUUUCUGUGAUUAAUCUCAUCUCCGGAAUACAUAGCGGUGCCGGAGUAUAAAGUGAGAGAUUUGUGGGCAGUUUUACAAGUGAAAGAUUUGUGCAUAGCUAUUGGGACAAUUAUUGGCACAUUUAAUUGUGGAACUACAAUACAAUUUAAUGGAUGUCCUAGUUAUUUAUACAUAAGUUAUAUACAGACAAAGUAUAUUGGGACAAUACAACAAGUAACGCUAACUGGAUUAACAGAACUAUUGGUGGCAAUACUGUGUAUUUUAUUGUGGCAUUUUUAUAAGGUGGUUUCACAAGGGCCCUGUGGACCACCUGUACAUUAAUGUUUUUAUAUAAGGUAUGACAAAUAAAUAUUUUACUAUCCAAAUAUCUAUAGACUUUGAGCUCCAGCAUUCUUUUCCUUUUCUUUGCAUUUUUUACACCGUGGGUAUAGGUGUUGGAUUGGAUUGCUCAGUCUAGCCAGUGCUUUUUAGAGAUAAUUGAGCCACUUCCGCUUUUUUCUGUUUCAAAAAUAAAUAUAAACAUAUGUGGUACUGCUGCGUGCGUAAAUGUCCAAACUAUUAAAAUGUAAGGUUAGUUAAAUUGCACGGUUAAUGGGGUACAUGUAAAAAAUUGGUCACUUCAUAUACCAUAAA